CCCGGUGACCAUAGGCGGCUGGAAACUCCCGUUCCCAUCCCGAACACGGUCGAUAAGCAGCCGCUGCCGAUGAUAGUCCCUUCGGGGGCGAAAGUAGGUCAUUGCCGGGC
rnacentral:rRNA from 1 species